rnacentral:rRNA from 1 species
CCUACGGGGGGCAGCAGUGAGGAAUAUUGGUCAAUGGACGAGAGUCUGAACCAGCCAAGUAGCGUGAAGGAUGACUGCCCUAUGGGUUGUAAACUUCUUUUAUAUGGGAAUAAAAUGUUCCACGUGUGGGAUUUUGUAUGUACCAUAUGAAUAAGGAUCGGCUAACUCCGUGCCAGCAGCCGCGGUAAUACGGAGGAUCCGAGCGUUAUCCGGAUUUAUUGGGUUUAAAGGGAGCGUAGGUGGAUUGUUAAGUCAGUUGUGAAAGUUUGCGGCUCAACCGUAAAAUUGCAGUUGAAACUGGCAGUCUUGAGUACAGUAGAGGUGGGCGGAAUUCGUGGUGUAGCGGUGAAAUGCUUAGAUAUCACGAAGAACUCCGAUGGCGAAGGCAGUUCACUGGACUGCAACUGACGCUGAGGCUCGAAAGUGUGGGUAUCAAACAGGAUUAGAUACCCGUGUAGUC